rnacentral:tRNA from 1 species
GCCCUCAUAGCUCAGUUGGCAGAGCGCGUUCUUGGUAAGAACGAGGUCAUGGGUUCAAAUCCCAUUGAGGGCU